GGUUCCGUAGUGUAGUGGGCAUCACGUUCGCUUCCACAUCGCGAAAGGCCCCCGGUUCGAUCCCCCGGACGGAACCU